rnacentral:lncRNA from 1 species
GCUUUUCUUUUCUUGGACAACAGAAUUAAAGAUAUUGCUGUCUUUGUCUCUUUUUUUCAGUUGAUUCUCCCUGUGAACGUGUUGUUUUGACACCUUCUAUCUGCUCCAUUUUGAGUGCCUAAAACUGGGAGGAUUGUAGGUGGACCUGGAAAGAUAGACUUCAGCAGAAGACCCAAACUUUCACACAUGUACCCUAGGACAAGAACUUGGAGAUUUACAAGAAAAUUUUGGAGUCCAGAGGAUGCUCAACUACAAAUGAUGGGGUUUUGUAGUAUGCCUGUAGGAUUAUGCCAUGUGAUGCAGACAACGAAAGGAGAAUGUUCCACCACAAAACAGACUGCUAAUGUGAGUGAAAAGCAUCAGGAUUUGGAAGCAGCAAGCAUCAGGAUGGGAAGACCUCAGGAAUUCAUACAUAAAAAUCAGAGAAGAACCAUCUUUGAAAAUAUCCAUCAUGAUUUUCAUAAGAAGUGCCACAAAAAGGUAUCUAUUUUCCUGCAAAAGUUGUUGAUUUUCCCUGUGUAUCUGCAUCUCAGCCACUGC